GACGAACGCUGGCGGCGUGCUUAACACAUGCAAGUCGAACGGAAAGGCCCUGCUUUUGUGGGGUGCUCGAGUGGCGAACGGGUGAGUAACACGUGAGUAACCUGCCCUUGACUUUGGGAUAACUUCAGGAAACUGGGGCUAAUACCGGAUAGGAGCUCCUGCUGCAUGGUGGGGGUUGGAAAGUUUCGGCGGUUGGGGAUGGACUCGCGGCUUAUCAGCUUGUUGGUGGGGUAGUGGCUUACCAAGGCUUUGACGGGUAGCCGGCCUGAGAGGGUGACCGGCCCCAUUGGGGCUGGGAGACGGCCCCGAGCCCCCCGGGGGGGACCGGGGGGGGAAAUUUCGCAAUGGGGGGGGGCCGUAUGCAGAGACCCCCCGUGCGGGAGGAGGGCCUUCGGGGUUUAAACCCCUUUUCCCUGUGACAAAGCGUGGGGGAGGGGAUUGGGGAAAGAAGCCCCGCCGAUAUCCGU
rnacentral:rRNA from 1 species